GUAGGGGGCAAGCGUUGUCCGGAAUUAUUGGGCGUAAAGCGCGUGUAGGCGGUCCGGUAAGUCGGCUGUGAAAGUCCAGGGCUCAACCCUGGGAUGCCGGUCGAUACUGCCUGACUAGAGUUCGGAAGAGGCGAGUGGAAUUCCCGGUGUAGCGGUGAAAUGCGCAGAUAUCGGGAGGAACACCAAUGGCGAAGGCAGCUCGCUGGGACGUUACUGACGCUGAGACGCGAAAGCGUGGGGAGCAAACAGGAUUAGAUACCCUGGUAGUCCACGCCGUAAACGAUGGGCACUAGGUGUGGGAGGUGUCGACUCCUCCCGUGCCGGAGCUAACGCAUUAAGUGCCCCGCCUGGGGAGUACGGCCGCAAGGCUAAA
rnacentral:rRNA from 1 species